rnacentral:rRNA from 1 species
AUUGAACGCUGGCGGCAGGCCUAACACAUGCAAGUCGAACGAGUGGCGGACGGGUGAGUAAUGUCUGGGAAACUGCCUGAUGGAGGGGGAUAACUACUGGAAACGGUAGCUAAUACCGCAUACCAUCAGAUGUGCCCAGGUGGGACUGACUAGUUGGUGUGGUAACGGCUCACCAAGGCGACGAUCCCUAGCUGGGCUGAGAGGAUGACCAGCCACACUGGGACUGAGACACGGUCCAGACUCCUACGGGAGGCAGCAGUGGGGAAUAUUGCACAAUGGGCGCAAUCCUGAUGCAGCCAUGCCGCGUGUAUGAAGAAGGCCUUCGGGUUGUAAAGUACUUUCAGCGGGGAUGCGUUACCCGCAGAAGAAGCACCGGCUAACUCCGUGCCAGCCGCCGCGGUAAUUC